UACGUAGGGUGCGAGCGUUAAUCGGAAUUACUGGGCGUAAAGUGUGCGCAGGCGGCCGCGCAAGUCGAGUGUGAAAUCCCCGAGCUUAACUUGGGAACUGCAUCCGAUACUGGAUGGCUUGAAUCCGGGAGAGGGAUGCAGAAUUCCAGGUGUAGCGGUGAAAUGCGUAGAUAUCUGGAGGAACACCGGUGGUGUAGACGGCUUUCUGGACCGUAACUGACGCUGAGACACGAAAGCGUGGGUAGCAAACAGGG
rnacentral:rRNA from 1 species